CCGGCCGAGUGCGUGCCUGGCAGGAGCCUUCUCUUUCCGGACUCCAUUUCCCAGAAGGCGCGGUGCCUCCUCGCCUGUUGCAUGUUUCCUCUGGCGCUCUCUACAGCACGACGCAGGGUAGGAUCGGUCUUCCAGUGUUUGGAGUUGGGAGUUACGAAUCGCCAUCCGACCGGGGAAGUCCGAUUUCCAAACUUGGGCUCUUGGUCCCCGUUGUCCUGGAAGAGGAAGGCAGUGGGGGCUUCCCUCAGGAGGAGACCCCCCCUCCGAGAGUCUACUGAGCUCCCUCUCUCUGGUGCCAGGGGCCCCAAAUGCCGGACAGAGAAGGGGUGACCAUGGAAAACCUGGCCCAGAUGCUUGGAGGGAGAGGUGAGCAAAGCUGGGGGGCAGGAGUGAACUCCAUUCUCUGUCUCCUCAUGUCCUCUUCCUCUCAAAUGAAUGAACCUUGACUGCCCGGCUCUCCCAACCUUUGCCGGUUCAUUCAAUCAUUGAAGAUUGUGGAUCGGCACUGCCUGUACCCCGUUUACACCUUCCUGCUGAAUGGUUGGGGGGGUCCACUCAGAGGGCUCCCCACCCCUUUUACCCUCAUGUGGGACCCUCAGCAAACACAGUUUCAUGACAUGGGCAGCUUGGGGAGAGGAUCAGUGAGAGAAGGCUCUGUGGGGAAGCCCUGAGGCAGGCUCCUCCCUUCUGUCUUCCUCUCUGCCAGGUGCUCUCCGUCCCCAGCAUAGGGGUGCCAUGGGCGAAUCACCAGGGACUUCUGGGGACCUCGCCAGCGGCUUUCAGGUGAGUUGGGGGCUCUUCCUUAAGCAUCACAGGUCUUUGUGUGGACCUGCACGUGCAAAGAAUCCAAGGCUCAGUCAUUCCUCCCGGAAGUUCGGGGUUGUUUGAUGGGUGACACAGUGUAGACUGAGUGUGAGAAAGAAAGUGUAGACACACAUUACGCCAUUAAUGCUAACAGAAGUCAUUUAUAAAUGGACAAAUUGUAGGUUGUAGAUGCCUUAGUAAGGGGCAGUUUCUGUUUUCAGCAUUAAUUAUUCUAAUUAUCUCCCUAACGUUGAAUUGUCCUUGCAUCACUGGUAUAAAUCUGACUCUAUUAUGAAGGCUGAUUUUGGAGAUAAAUAAUUGGAGCACUUUUGCUAGGAUUUUCUUGAAAAUUUUUAGAUUGAUAUUCAUUAAUGAUAUUAAUGGUUUUUCUUUCUUUGUUUGACUUAGGUUUUAAGAUUUUAUCUGUCUUGUACAAGGAAUUUGGUAGAAUCCAGUCUCAAAUUCUUGUAAAUAGUUUGUGUAAUAUAGGUAUUAAUUAUCCUUUAGUCAGUCAAUAAGCAGUGAUUAAGCACCUCCCUUGUGCCUGGCACUGUAGUAAGUCUGAGAUACAAAAAGAGGCAAAAGACAGUUCUUGCCCUCACAGAGCUUACAGUUUAAUGGGGGAAAUAGCAUGGAAACAGAGCAAAGCAAGCUCUCUACAGAAGAAAAAGGAAAGAGAGCUCAGGAAAGGCACUGAAGCUGAGGAGGUGGGGAAGGCUUCCUCUACAGGGUGGGGUUUUAAUUGAGUUUUCUAUUUGAUGUUCCAUUAAUUUGAGUAUUUUAUUCUUUUGCAAGUAAUCCUCUAUCUUUUUGAGUGCUCAGGAUUUUUUCCAUAUAAAUGUAUGUAGUAGGUUCUCAUUAUUCUUUUCAUUUCUUCUGUUUGUUGUGAUUUACCUUGUUGGUUAUUAAAAAUA
ensembl:lncRNA